GUUUUUGUAGUUGAAUAACAACAGUGGUUUUUCAUGCCAUUAGUUCUGGUUAAAAUCCAGAUGAGAACU
rnacentral:tRNA from 1 species